ACCAUUUCCAUACUUAUUGCUACUGGUGUGAUUGAACCUUUGCUGUGGUGUGAUUUUGGGUGCACAUCUCGAUCCAUGUGAAGCUGUUGGGUUUGGGAUGUUUUGGGAAGGACGUUUCCUGGUGUAUAGAGUGGUAUCCAAUCUGUGAGACAGGAGCAGUUGUACCUGCAGGAAGAGCCUGGGGGAAGUGGGUUUUUGCUGAAGUGGAGAGGAAUAAAAGCAAGAGAAUGAAGCCAUGGGCCAUUUACUGUGCAGUUUGUGCUCUCAGGUACUUCUGUUCCUUGCUGACAGGAAUUCCUUGUGCAGCUCAGACUUGAACCUUCUUGGUAGGCUGGAAUGAAGAGCAGCUUCUCCUGAAUUCUGUCGAAUUUGGCAGCUGUUCCACACCUCUAAACUUGAAUGUUGCAGUAAAGUCAACCCCAAAGUAAGCAACACCUACUUGGGGAAAGUGAAGGUUAUUUUCACUUGGAAUUGGAGAUAUUUGCUGCUGUCAGGCCCAGAGCAGACAGGAACUCCUCUGAGGAGCUCUGCUCAUUGCAGAGAUGGGAACUGCUGACACACUCGAAUAAUGGAAAUUCUCUAAGUAUUUUUCCCCCUGCCUUUUCUACACCAGAUUCCCAACAAAUGCCCUGGGUUCCUGGGUUAGUCAUGAGGAGUGGGCACAUGUUCAGCUUCUAUUCUGGUGCUUUUGAAAACUGCAUUGGAACAGACCCUGUUAACAAAAGCAAUGCUCCAUUUCAUUCUCAGAGAAAGAGAGGACCCAGUGCCAAGCUCAGACCCAGGGCUGUGCUGACCUCUGCUUAAGGAGAGGGGAUCAGGUUUCCACUGCCAGUCCAUCUCUUGUUUGGCCCUACACCUCUGGAAAAGGGGAGGAAACAUCUUGAAAAGAAACAACACAAUAACAUCUUCCCAGUGAUCUGCCAUUAACCUCUGUGUGGGCUUAAAGCAAUAUUGCACAAGAACAAAAAUCAGCAGAUACUUUCCCAAAGGCAGUCAGAAACUGUUCUUUAUCCACUCAGAUCUUUGCUGCCUGGGGCUAUCUGAGUCAUUCUUCUCACUAAAGUCUGAGGAUGAAUUUCUUUCUCUUACUGUGAAAAGUUUACACUUAGAAGACUCAUGCAUGAAGGACCAAAAGACAUUUGGUUUGGCUGCACAGUAAAAGAGUUUAGUGUUAUCAUUGCUUCAUUACUUCAUCCUGGUUGCUAAAGAUCAGCUUCCUCAUAGCUGCUGUUAAAAUCUGUGCUGAGGCUCUGUGCACUGACACAUGCUGCAAAAUGUGCAGUUUGCACCAAUUCUUUCCUGUGCUGGAACAGCCUG